CUUUUCGAUGUCUGGGUUCUUUGUAUUUUAUGUUUGGCAAUAUUAUCCGUGCAUCUUUGACCUUCUUGCCCAUACCUCUAUCCAAAACAACGUUGUUGGAUGGCUUUAUUUUUCUCGGAAGCUUUGCUUCUGCCCUAAAGCUUUUGGUACAUUUCUUCGGAAUCACUGUAUUCUUCUUUUUAUAUCCCUAAUUUUUCUGCAACAAUGAAAGAUAUGGAGUGAUAUGGUGACAUUUGAGUAAUAGAGAGAAGGAUGGCAGAUAAGAGAGGAUGAGAAAGAGAGAAAUCAUUCUUUGAGCAUCAAAUCGUCGUUCCACCACCACCGCUCCCUUCAUCAGCAGCCGGAGAACCCAACAGAACGAAUCCGGCCGCCUGGGUUUCUCCGCAGCCGAAGAUACAUUCGGGUCGGGUCGCCAACUUUAACAUCAGAUGGUUGGUUUGCUGCUGUCCCGCAUUCAUUUCUUCUUUGUCUUCUGAUCUCUACUUCUUCCCGAUGAUAUAGUUUCUUUUGCUUUAAGAUGCGGAGGCAGUCCGGAUACCAACUCUAACCUCCCAAAUAAACCAAUCCUUAAUCAUUUAUACAUAAUCCAGGGAGGCUGGCGUCAUUGAUUCUUCUUCUCCCGCUUUAAGGUAGUGCCCUUGUGGCACGGAUGUUAUAUCUGCUGCUGUGAAGCAUCUAACACCAGUUGUUCUUGAGUUGGGUGGGAAAUGCCCUGCUUUUGUUGAUUCCUUUUUAUCUACUUGGGAAAAACAGAUAAUAUUUCAUCUUUCUACCACUGAUUGAUUUACCAUAUUAAGAUUGUGACAAAACAAUCAACCCAAUUCUCAGCAGUUCAUCAUCUAAAAUAGAGAGAACUUUGCAUUGCUGCAAGCAGCUCCUUUAGUAGUAUUUUUUUUUCCCUGUUGUUUAAUCUCAAGGUGGCUGUAAAUUGAAGUGCUGUCUCAAAGUUAACCUAUGCUUUUUAACUAAAAUUAUUAGGCACCUAACCUCAAAGUUAAAGCAUUUUUAUUCUUUAAUUAUGUCUCACAGUUGAUGGUUAUCAUCUAGAUUAAUUUGGAUUUUCUUUUUUGGUAUUUAUCAGCAGGAAAUGAGUAGGGGUUAAAGGUGCGGUACACACUAUUAAUUAAGGCUAUCUAUUGGUCAUUAGUGUCCUUACCUGAGGGAUGAUUACUAAGGUAUCAUAUUUCAAUAAAGAAUUUAACAUUUGAUUUUUAAUUGUAAUGUUUUUCAGACAAAAAUCAGUUGGAAUCAAGAAGAUACUAGGGCAAUCAAAGCUGGUAGAGACAAUAAUAUGUGUAUGAGGUGUGGUUUAUCAAUCUAAAGGAAUAUUUCAAAAGCAUCAGUUGCCAUUGAUGGAUGAUGUCAAAUUUAAAAAUCUGAUUAAUUGUUCAGGGACGUAGUGUGACAUCUUCAAAUUAUAAAUCUUUUUUAUUGUUAGGUCUUGGAAAAACAUGUACGGUAGGUUUUAUUAGUUGCAUAGGACUUCAUAGACAUUUUGUGUUUAUUGGUUCAUAGAUUCCUUCAAAUCUGUUGAAAGACUGCAAAGCUCUCUAGACUACUUAUCUUAAAGACAAUCCUAUUUCUAUGGAUCAA